AUUGAACGCUGGCGGCAUGCUUUACACAUGCAAGUCGAGCGGCAGCGCGGGGGCAACCCUGGCGGCGAGCGGCGAACGGGUGAGUAAUGCAUCGGAACGUAUCCUCGAGUGGGGGAUAACCCAGCGAAAGUUGGGCUAAUACCGCAUGAGCUCUGAGGAGGAAAGCGGGGGACCGGCGAGGGCCUCGCGCUGGAGGAGCGGCCGAUGUCCGAUUAGCUAGUUGGUGGGGUAAAGGCUUACCAAGGCGACGAUCGGUAGCUGGUCUGAGAGGAUGAUCAGCCACACUGGGACUGAGACACGGCCCAGACUCCUACGGGAGGCAGAAGUGGGGAAUUUUGGACAAUGGGGGCAACCCUGAUCCAGCCAUGCCGCGUGAGUGAAGAAGGCCUUCGGGUUGUAAAGCUCUUUCGGACGGAAAGAAAUGGGCGGGACUAAUACUCCGGUCUGAUGACGGUACCGUAAGAAGAAGCACCGGCUAACUACGUG
rnacentral:rRNA from 1 species